rnacentral:rRNA from 1 species
UCCAUUGGGCCCUAUUCUUCGCGUUAAGUUUCUCCGCCUGGGGAGUACGGCCGCAAGGUUAAAACUCAAAGAAAUUGACGGGGGCCCGCACAAGCGGUGGAGCAUGUGGUUUAAUUCGAUGCAACGCGAAAAACCUUACCUACCCUUGACAUCCUCGGAACUUGUCAGAGAUGACUAGGUGCCCUUUGGGAGCCGAGUGACAGGUGCUGCAUGGCUGUCGUCAGCUCGUGUCGUGAGAUGUUGGGUUAAGUCCCGUAACGAGCGCAACCCUCGUCCUUAGUUGCCAGCGGUUCGGCCGGGAACUCUAAGGAGACUGCCGGUGAUAAACUGGAGGAAGGUGGGGAUGAUGUCAAGUCAUCAUGGCCCUUACGGGUAGGGCUACACACGUGCUACAAUGGGCAAUACAAAGGGUUGCCAAACCGUGAGGUGGAGCUAAUCCCAGAAAAUUGCUCGUAGUCCGGAUUGAAGUCUGCAACUCGACUUCAUGAAGUUGGAAUCGCUAGUAAUCGCGAAUCAGAAUGUCGCGGUGAAUACGUUCUCGGGCCUUGUACACACCGCCCGUCACACCAUGGAAGUGAAUUGUACCAGAAGCGGGUAGGCA